CAUAAAUAAAAUCAUUUCUUCGUAUUUAUCAACCUCACAAAUCAAGUCUUCUAGCUAGGAUCAAGUCUGUUAGCCGUAAAAUCCAUGGCUUCCACGUUCUCACCACUGCCGCUCAGAACUCUCUCUCUCCACCGUAUGCGCAAUGCACACCCCACCAUCUGCGAGGCGCACAUCAGUCCUAAACCUGCGCCGAUUUCCUUCCCCGGCCGAAGACAUCUUCUCUUCAUGCUAGCGUCAGCACCAGCACUGGCCUUAAGAGAACCAUCUUCACUGGCGCAGGACAUUCCUUUGUUUGGGCUGAGGAAGAAGCUGAAGAGGGCGGAGGAGGAAGCUGAGGAGCUGGUGAAGGAAGGGUUUGAGACGGCGGAGAAGGGGUUGGAGACAGCGGGGAAAGGGAUCGUGACGGUUGAGAGAGGGAUUGAGACAGCAGAGAAAGAGAUUGUGAUGGCAGAGAAGGAGAUUGAGGAAGCGGUGAGCUUUGGUGGGCUAGCGCAGGCUGGUGCGGUGGCUGGAGCGGAGGUUGUUGGCGUCUUGGUUGCUACUGCCAUUGUUAAUGGGAUUUUGGGGCCUGAGGGUUCUAAAUCAUAAAGUUUCUUUCCAACCAUGACAGAGAUGGUAAGCACGCUAUGUCCAAAAUCAAAAUCAUGAUCCGUUCAGGGUAUCACUUGAAGACUUUGGAGAACUUCAAGGCUUCCUUCAAAACCACACUACUAAGAAGCUUUGUGUUGUACGUUUCUUUUUAUUUAUAAAUUAUUUAUGAUUAUGAUUAAUAAAUUUUGAAAUAAUUUGUGUCCUUAAGAUAAUGCUUGAACACAGUGGGAGCCGAAUUACAAGUUGUUAAUAAAAGUAGCAACCCCAUUUCAUUUCUAGCA